rnacentral:rRNA from 1 species
UACGGAGGGGACUAGCGUUGUUCGGAAUUACUGGGCGUAAAGCGCACGUAGGCGGAUUUGUAAGUCAGGGGUGAAAUCCCGGGGCUCAACCCCGGAACUGCAUUGGAUACUGCCUUGCUCGAGUACUGGAGAGGGAACUGGAAUUUACGGUGUAGCAGUGAAAUGCGUAGAGAUCGUAAGGAAGGCCAGUGGCGAAGGCGAGUUCCUGGACAGUUACUGACGCUGAGGCACGAAGGCCAGGGGAGCAAACGGG